UACGAAGGGGGGCUAGCGUUGCUCGGAAUCACUGGGCGUAAAGCGCACGUAGGCGGGUUGUUAAGUCGGGGGUGAAAUCCUGGAGCUCAACUCCAGAACUGCCUUUGAUACUGGCAACCUUGAGUCCGGGAGAGGUGAGUGGAACUGCGAGUGUAGAGGUGAAAUUCGUAGAUAUUCGCAAGAACACCAGUGGCGAAGGCGGCUCACUGGCCCGGUACUGACGCUGAGGUGCGAAAGCGUGGGGAGCAAACAGG
rnacentral:rRNA from 1 species